GCUUCCUUAGCUCAGUUGGUUAGAGCAUCUGACUGUUAAUCAGAGGGUCUCAGGUUCAAGUCCUGAAGGGAGCGCAA
rnacentral:tRNA from 1 species